AUUGAACGCUGGCGGCAUGCCUUACACAUGCAAGUCGAACGGCAGCGGGGACUUCGGUCCGCCGGCGAGUGGCGAACGGGUGAGUAAUGUAUCGGAACGUACCAUUGAGUGGGGGAUAACUAUCCGAAAGGAUAGCUAAUACCGCAUAUUCUCUCCGGAGGAAAGCAGGGGACCGCAAGGCCUCGCGCUCAUUGAGCGGCCGAUAUCAGAUUAGCUAGUUGGUGAAGUAAAGGCUCACCAAGGCGACGAUCUGUAGCGGGUCUGAGAGGAUGAUCCGCCACACUGGAACUGGGACACGGUCCAGACUCCUACGGGAGGCAGCAGUGGGGAAGUUUGGACAAUGGGGGCAACCCUGAUCUAGCCAUGCCGCGUGAGUGAAGAAGGCCUUCGGGUUGUAAAGCUCUUUCGGCCGGGAAAAAAUCGCAUGGGUUAAUACCCUGUGCGGAUGACGGUACCGGAAUAAGAAGCACCGGCUAACUACGUGCCAGCCGCCGCGGUAAGAC
rnacentral:rRNA from 1 species